UGUCCAGGAGCGGGAAUCGAACCCACAACCUUCUGCUUACCGGGCAGGUGCCAUGUCCACUAGGCUACUAGUAC